rnacentral:rRNA from 1 species
UACAGAGGUCUCAAGCGCUGUUCGGAUUCAUUGGGCGUAAAGGGUGUGUAGGUGGCGCGCUAAGUCGGGUGUGAAAUUUCGGAGCUUAACUCCGAAACUGCAUUCGAUACUGGCGUGCUUGAGGACUGGAGAGGAGACUGGAAUUCAUGGUGUAGCAGUGAAAUGCGUAGAGAUCAUGAGGAAGACCAGUGGCGAAGGCGGGUCUCUGGACAGUUCCUGACACUGAGACACGAAGGCCAGGGGGAGCAAACGGG